GCAAACUUGGUCAUUUAGAGGAAGUAAAAGUCGUAACAAGGUUUCCGUAGGUGAACCUGCGGAAGGAUCAUCAAUGAAUUUCCAAAAUUCACUUGGCUUUGGUGUGGGGUUGGAUUCGUCUGGCCCACCCCCAUUGCCUUUAUCAACCAUCAGUCUCUGCCCUAACCAAAAGGGUGUCUCGAGAUAUUGCUGCUUUUUUGGGUGGCAUCCACACAUCCCCGAGCCCUUUUCGGAGGCUUUGACUUUUUUGAGUAGUUUUUAAGGGUUUUUUGUGGUGUUAGGUUCGCUUAGUUUUGGCAACAUUAUUAUGCACAACCUCUCAUCCUUCCCUUCUACUCGUUAUUGUGGGCAACACAAACUAAAUUAAAAUACAACUUUUAACGAUGGAUCUCUUGGCUCCCGCAUCGAUGAAGAACGCAGC
rnacentral:misc_RNA from 1 species